GAUGAACGCUGGCGGCGUGCCUAAUACAUGCAAGUCGAGCGAACGGACGAGAAGCUUGCUGCUCUGAUGUUAGCGGCGGACGGGUGAGUAACACGAGGAUAACCUCCCUAUAAGACGGGUAUAAUUUCGGGAAACCGGAUCUAAUACCGGAUGAUCUUUUGAACCGCAGGGGUCAAAAGUGAAAUACGGUCUUGCUGUCACGUCUAGCUGGAUCCGCGCUUCAUUAGCUCGUUGGGAAGUUAACGGCUUACGAAGGGAACGAUGCGUAGCCGAACUGAGGGGGGGAUAGCCCGCCCUGGAACUGAGACACGGUCCAUACUCCUACGGGAGGCAGCAGUAGGGAAUCUGACGCAAUGGGCGAGAGCAUGACGCAGCAGCGCCGCGUGAGUGAUGAAGGUCUUCGGAUCGUAAAGCUCUGUUAUGAGGGAAGAACAUAUGUGUAAGUAACUGUGCACAUCGUGACGGUACCUAAUAAGAAAGCCACGGCUAACUACGUG
rnacentral:rRNA from 1 species